CUGGGGUGAGUUCAGGGUCUGGUAACAUCUGGUGGUGAGUUCAGGGGUCUGGUAACAUCUGGUGGUGAGUUCAGGGUCUGGUUAAUAACUGUGGUGAGUUCAGGGUCUGGUAACAUCUGUGGUGAGUUCAGGGUCUGGUUAAUAACUGUGGUGAGUUCAGGGUCUGGUUAAUAACUGUGGUGAGUUCAGGGUCUGGUAACAUCUGGUGGUGAGUUCAGGGUCUGGUUAAUAACUGUGGUGCGUUCAGGGUCUGGUUAAUAUCUGUGGUGAGUUCAGGGUCUGGUUAAUAACUGGUGGUGAGUUCAGGGUCUGGUUAAUAACUGUGGUGAGUUCAGGGUCUGGUUAAUAACUGAUGGUGAGUUCAGGGUCUGGUUAAUAACUGUGGUGCGUUCAGGGUCUGGUUAAUAUCUGUGGUGAGUUCAGGGUCUGGUGCAGCCGUCCGUUAAUAGCUGACGAUGUGUGAAUCAGCUUGUUUUCUUUGCACAUUAAGAGGAAAUAGUGAGUUUCAUAUUUCCAGGAACUACCAGCAGGAUGUAGAACCGGUGGGACGAGCUCAGCCGUUCACGCUGAGCACAAAGUUGAUUUAAAUUCGACAGUUUAGUAAAAACAGACACACCUGAACAGGUUUCAACUGUUGGUUUAUGAAA